rnacentral:rRNA from 1 species
UACGGAGGGUGCGAGCGUUGUCCGGAAUCAUUGGGCGUAAAGGGCGCGUAGGUGGCCCGGUCAGUUCGUGGUGAAAGCGCGGGGCUCAACCCUGCGUCGGCCAUGAAUACUGCCGCGGCUGGAGCACUGUAGAGGCAGGCGGAAUUCCGGGUGUAGCGGUGGAAUGCGUAGAGAUGUGGAGGAACACCAGUGGCGAAGGCGGCUUUCUGGUCUGUAACUGACGCUGAGGCGCGAAAGCGUGGGGAGCAAACAGG